rnacentral:rRNA from 1 species
UACGAAGGGGGCUAGCGUUGCUCGGAAUCACUGGGCGUAAAGGGUGCGUAGGCGGGUCUUUUAAGUCAGGGGUGAAAUCCUGGAGCUCAACUCCAGAACUGCCUUUGAUACUGAGGAUCUUGAGUACGGGAGAGGUGAGUGGAACUGCGAGUGUAGAGGUGAAAUUCGUAGAUAUUCGCAAGGACACCAGUGGCGAAGGCGGCUCACUGGCCCGUUACUGACGCUGAGGCACGAAAGCGUGGGGAGCAAACAGG